UACAGGGGGGGCAAGCGUUAUUCGGAAUUACUGGGCUUAAAGGGUUUGUAGGCGGCCUUGUAAGUCAGGUGUGAAAUCCCUCGGCUCAACCGAGGAAUAGCGCUUGAUACUGCAUGGCUUGAGGGAGACAGGGGUAAGCGGAACUGAUGGUGGAGUGGUGAAAUGCGUUGAUAUCAUCAGGAACACCGGUGGCGAAAGCGGCUUACUGGGUCUCUUCUGACGCUGAGGAACGAAAGCUAGGGGAGCGAACGGG
rnacentral:rRNA from 1 species